UGUCCCAGAAGAAGAGAGCUGCUAUUCUGGAGAGUAAAAAUAAUAAUCGUCCAUGAGAAAUUGGAUUACUGUAGCAGCACACAAUGGCUCCAGCUUCCAGAAACUUUGAGCACCCCCAGCACCCCCAGGAGCCAGCAGCAGCCUUGUCACACUGCCUCACCUGCUGAGCUGUGCCCCUGGGACCAGAGAAGCUGCAGAGCCACACCCCUUUGGGGGAAGCACCAGCCGAAUAGCACCCCCUCCUCAGAGGUCCUAGCUGGGCACAGCCUCCCUCCGAGAUGCAAGCUCUAGCCCCGUGGGGCCCCUCCUCCAGGCUCUUGGGUACAGGCGACACCACCUGUAUGCUCCAGCCUCAGGAGGUAGGAGCUGCUCUCUUGCAGUUCCUAAUCCCUGAGUGACAACCCUCUUCCCUUUUCCUUUUAUACUUUGAGCCUCCUAAUGCCUGUGAAAGCAAUUCUUUCUAUUAAAGCCCUUCUAUUGGAAA